GAAAUGCGAUAAGUAAUGUGAAUUGCAGAAUUCAGUGAAUCAUCGAAUCUUUGAACGCACCUUGCGCUCCUUGGUAUUCCGAGGAGCAUGCCUGUUUGAGUGUCAUGAAAUUCUCAAACCUUUCAUUAUUUUCUUUAAUGAGAGAGUUUGGAUGUGGAAGUUUGCGGGUCUCUAGAAAUGGAGGUCGGCUCUUCUCAAAUGCAUUAGCAAGGACCUUAUCCUUUUGUUGGCCUUGGUGUGAUAAUUAUCUAUGCCAUUGGCUUUAGGAUGUGGGUUUGGCUUUCUAAUGAGUCCUCCUUCGGGGGACAAUAUUUCUGAUACCUUUGACCUCAAAUCAGGUAG
rnacentral:rRNA from 1 species